GAUGAACGCUGGCGGCGUGCUUAACACAUGCAAGUCGAACGGUGAACACGGAGCUUGCUCUGUGGGAUCAGUGGCGAACGGGUGAGUAACACGUGAGCAACCUGCCCCUGACUCGGGGAUAAGCGCUGGAAACGGCGUCUAAUACUGGAUAUGUGACGUGACCGCAUGGUCUGCGUUUGGAAAGAUUUUUCGGUUGGGGAUGGGCUCGCGGCCUAUCAGCUUGUUGGUGAGGUAAUGGCUCACCAAGGCGUCGACGGGUAGCCGGCCUGAGAGGGUGACCGGCCACGCUGGGACUGAGACACGGCCCAGACUCCUACGGGCGGCAGCAGUGGGGAAUAUUGAACAAUGGGAGGAAGCCUGAUGCAGCACCGCCGCGUGGGGGAUGACGGCCUUCGGGUUGUAACCCUCUUUUAGCAGGGAAGAAGCGAAAGUGACGGUACCUGCAGAAAAAGCGCCGGCUAACUACGUG
rnacentral:rRNA from 1 species